rnacentral:rRNA from 1 species
GUGUCAGCCGCCGCGGUAACACGGGGGGAGCAAGCGUUGUUCGGAUUCAUUGGGCGUAAAGAGCUCGUAGGCGGCUCUGUAAGUCGGAGGUGAAAUAUCACGGCUCAACCGUGAAAACGCCUUCGAAACUGCGGAGCUUGAGGCCGGGAGAGGAAAUCGGAAUUCCUGGUGUAGCGGUGAAAUGCGUAGAUAUCAGGAGGAACACCGGUGGCGAAGGCGGAUUUCUGGACCGGUUCUGACGCUCAGGAGCGAAAGCCAGGGGAGCAAACAGGAUUAGAAACCCCCGUAGUCC